rnacentral:rRNA from 1 species
GUGGAUUAGAUACCCUAGUAGUCCACGCCGUAAACUAUGGAUGCUAGCCGUCAGCAAGCUUGCUUGUUGGUGGCGCAGCUAACGCAUUAAGCAUCCCGCCUGGGGAGUACGGCCGCAAGGUUAAAACUCAAAGGAAUUGACGGGGGCCCGCACAAGCGGUGGAGCAUGUGGUUUAAUUCGACGCAACGCGAAGAACCUUACCAGCUCUUGACAUUUCCUGACUGUUUCCAGAGAUGGAUUCGUCCCAGCAAUGGGCAGGAGGACAGGUGCUGCACGGCCGUCGCCAGCU